rnacentral:rRNA from 1 species
AUUGAACGCUGGCGGCAGGCCUAACACAUGCAAGUCGAGCGGCAGCGGGAAAGUAGCUUGCUACUUUUGCCGGCGAGCGGCGGACGGGUGAGUAAUGCCUGGGAAAUUGCCCAGUCGAGGGGGAUAACAGGUGGAAACGACUGCUAAUACCGCAUACGCCCUACGGGGGAAAGUAGGGGACCUUCGGGCCUUGCGCGAGUGGAUAUGCCCAGGUGGGAUUAGCUAGUUGGUGAGGUAAUGGCUCACCAAGGCGACGAUCCCUAGCUGGUCUGAGAGGAUGAUCAGCCACACUGGAACUGAGACACGGUCCAGACUCCUACGGGAGGCAGCAGUGGGGAAUAUUGCACAAUGGGGGAAACCCUGAUGCAGCCAUGCCGCGUGUGUGAAGAAGGCCUUCGGGUUGUAAAGCACUUUCAGCGAGGAGGAAAGGUUGUUGGCUAAUACCCAGCAGCUGUGACGUUACUCGCAGAAGAAGCACCGGCUAACUCCGUGCCAGCAGCCGCAGUAAAAC